AUGAUAGGAACACAUAUAUAUCAUGAUAGGAACAGCCCAUAUCGCGAUAGGAACAGCACGUAUCGCGAUAGGAACAGCCCAUAUCGCGAUAGGAACACAUAUAUUGCGAUAGGAACAAACAUAUCGAGAUAGGAACAGCACAUAUCGCUAUAGGAACAGACCAUAUCACGAUAGAAACACAUAUAUCAUGAUAGGAACACAUAUAUAUCGUGAUAGGAACACAUAUAUCGUGAUAGGAACACAUAUAUCGCGAUAGGAACACACGUAUCGCAAUAGGAACAGCACGUAUCGCAAUAGGAACACAUAUAUAUCGUGAUAGGAACACACAUAUUGCGAUAGGAACACAUAUAUAUUGCAAUAGGAACAGCACGUAUCGCGAUAGGAACACAUAUAUAUCGCGAUAGGAACAGCCAAUAUCACGAUUGGAACAAACAUAUCGCGAUAGGAACAGACCAUAUCGCAAUAGGAACACAUAUAUUGCGAUAGGAACACAUAUAUCAUGAUAGGAACAGCACAUAUCACAAUAGGAACACACAUAUCGCGAUAGGAAAAGCACAUAUCGCGAUAGGAACAUAUAUAUCGUGAUAGGAACAGCACAUAUCGCGAUAGGAACACAUAUAUAGCGAUAGCAACACAUAUAUAGCGAUAGGAACAGCCUGUAUUGCGAUAGGAACACAUAUAUUGCGAUAGGAACACAUAUAUCAUGAUAGGAACAUAUAUAUCACGAUAGGAACACAUAUAUAUCGUGAUAGGAACAGCACGUAUCGCGAUAGGAACAAACAUAUCGCGAUAGGAACAGCACGUAUCGUGAUAGGAACAGCCCAUAUUGCGAUAGGAACACAUAUAUCGCCAUAGGAACACACAUAUUGUGAUAGGAACACACGUAUCGCGAUAGGAACAUGGCCCAUAUUGCGACAGACACCACAUAUCGCGAUAGGAACACAUGUAUCGCAAUAGGAACACAUAUAUCACGAUAGGAAUGUGGCCCAUAUCGUGACAGACACCACAUAUCGCAAUAGGAACAUGGCACGUAUCACAACAGGAACAUACAUAUCGCGAUAGGAACACAUAUGUCGUGAUAGGAACACGGCACAUAUCGUGAUAGCUGCUGUAUGUCACGAUAGCUGCUGUC
rnacentral:lncRNA from 1 species